GGGGCAGUAGCUCAGUUGGGAGAGCGCGUGCUUUGCAAGCAUGAGGCCGCCAGUUCGAUCCUGGUCUGCUCCACAA
rnacentral:tRNA from 1 species